UACGUAGGUGGCGAGAGUUAUCCGGAAUGAUUGGGCGUAAAGGGUGCGCAGGCGGAGGCACAAGUCAGCGGUCAAAUCGUGGGGCUCAACCCCAUCCAGCCGUUGAAACUGGGGAUCUAGAGUGUGCGAGAGGUAUGCGGAAUGCGUGGUGUAGCGGUGAAAUGCAUAGAUAUCACGCAGAACCCCGAUUGCGAAGGCAGCAUACCGGCGCCCUACUGACGCUGAGGCACGAAAGUGCGGGUAUCGAACAGG
rnacentral:rRNA from 1 species